rnacentral:rRNA from 1 species
AUACGGAUGGUGCGAGCGUUGUUCGGAAUUACUGGGCGUAAAGGGCGCGUAGGCGGCGAUGUAAGUCAAAUGUGAAAGUCCUCGGCUUAACCGGGGAAGUGCAUCUGAAACUGCAUUGCUUGAGUAUGGGAGAGGAAAGUGGAAUUCCCGGUGUAGAGGUGAAAUUCGUAGAGAUCGGGAGGAAUACCGGUGGCGAAGGCGACUUUCUGGACCAAUACCGACGCUGAGGCGCGAAAGCGUGGGGAGCAAACAGGAUUAGAAACCCCAGUAGUCC